UACGUAGGGGUCCGAGCGUUUGUCCGGAAUUACUGGGCGUAAAGAGCUCGUAGGUGGUUUGUCGCGUUGUUCGUGAAAACUCACAGCUCAACUGUGGGCUUGCGGUCGAUACGGGCAUCACUGGAGUUCGGGCAGGGGGAGACUGGAAUUCCUGGUGUAGCGGUGAAAUGCGCAGAUAUCAGGAGGAACACCGGUGGCGAAGGCGGGUCUCUGGGCCGAUACUGACGCUGAGGAGCGAAAGCGUGGGGAGCGAACAGG
rnacentral:rRNA from 1 species